GUAGGUGGCAAGCGUUGUCCGGAAUUAUUGGGCGUAAAGCGCGCGCAGGCGGUUCUUUAAGUCUGAUGUGAAAGCCCACGGGCUCAACCGUGGAGGGUCAUUGGAAACUGGAGAACUUGAGUACAGAAGAGGAAAGCGGAAUUCCACGUGUAGCGGUGAAAUGCGUAGAGAUGUGGAGGAACGCCAGUGGCGAAGGCGGCUUUCUGGUCUGUAACUGACGCUGAGGCGCGAAAGCGUGGGGAGCAAACAGGAUUAGAUACCCUGGUAGUCCACGCCGUAAACGAUGAGUGCUAAGUGUUAGGGGGUUUCCGCCCCUUAGUGCUGCAGCUAACGCAUUAAGCACUCCGCCUGGGGAGUACGGCCGCAAAGGCUG
rnacentral:rRNA from 1 species